rnacentral:rRNA from 1 species
GACGAACGCUGGCGGCGUGCUUAACACAUGCAAGUCGAACGGAAAGGCCCUGCUUUUGUGGGGUGCUCGAGUGGCGAACGGGUGAGUAACACGUGAGUAACCUGCCCUUGACUUUGGGAUAACUUCAGGAAACUGGGGCUAAUACCCGAUAGGAGCUCCUGCUGCAUGGUGGGGGUUGGAAAGUUUCGGCGGUUCGGGAUGGAAUCGCUGGUUAUCCGCUUGUUGGGCAGGUAGUGGCUUACCAAGGCUUCGACGGGUAGCCGGCCUGAGAGGGUGACCGGGCACAUUGGGACUAAGGUAGGGCCCAGUAGCCUACGUGAGGCAGCGGUGGAGAACAUUGCGCAAUGGGGGGAAGCCUGUUGCAGCAACGCCGCGUGCGGGAUGACGGCCUUCGGGUUGUAAACCGAUUUCGCCUGUGACGAAGCGAGAGUGACGGUAAUGGGUAAGGAAGCACCGGCUAACUACGUG